rnacentral:rRNA from 1 species
AGAAUCAACGCUGGCGGCGUGCCUAACACAUGCAAGUCGAACGAGAAAGUGGAGCAAUCCAUGAGUAAAGUGGCGACCGGGUGAGUAACACGUGACUAACCUACCUUUCAGUGGGGAAUAACCUCGGGAAACCGGGGCUAAUACCGCAUAAUGUCUUCGGACCAAAGGAGCAAUUCGCUGAAAGAGGGGGUCGCGGCCGAUUAGCUAGUUGGCGGGGUAACGGCCCACCAAGGCAAUGAUCGGUAGCCGGCCUGAGAGGGCGCACGGCCACACUGGAACUGAAACACGGUCCAGACUCCUACGGGAGGCAGCAGUGGGGAAUUUUGCGCAAUGGGGGAAACCCUGACGCAGCAACGCCGCGUGGAGGAUGAAGCCCCUUGGGGUGUAAACUCCUUUCGAUCGGGACGAUUAUGACGGUACCGGAUGAAGAAGCACCGGCUAACUCUGCGCCAGCAGCCGC